GACUGCCAGUCUCUAUGGGAUCACCUGCAAUAGAUCAGCCAAGAGCUGUUUUUCUGCCGGUUUAUUCACAUGGGACCUAUACUUGAACUGGCACCUGAUAGACUAAUGCUAGCAUCCAUAUGUCUUGUGUAUAACAUUAAGACAAGCAUUCUGAGAUUCACAUUUAAAUUAAAUUUGAAAAAAUGAAUACGUUCCCACACUGGAAAUACUUGUGUCAGUAAUUUUUUUUCUUGAUUGUAUUGUACAUCAGUAAGCCUGCAUUAGGAGUGGCAAAAC